rnacentral:rRNA from 1 species
CAGCAGCCGCGGUAAAACGGAGGGAGCUAGCGUUGUUCGGAAUUACUGGGCGUAAAGCGCACGUAGGCGGCUUGGUAAGUUAGAGGUGAAAGCCUGGAGCUCAACUCCAGAAUUGCCUUUAAGACUGCCGAGCUAGCAGGUGAGAGAGGUAAGUGGAAUUCCGAGUGUAGAGGUGAAAUUCGUAGAUAUUCGGAAGAACACCAGUGGCGAAGGCGGCUUACUGGCUCAUACUGGACGCUGAGGUGCGAAAGCGUGGGGAGCAAACAGGAUUAGAUACCCCCGUAGUCCCUGUCUCUUAUAC